CUUUUUAUCAGAGUUCCAAAAU
rnacentral:miRNA from 1 species